rnacentral:rRNA from 1 species
AGGAAUCUGCCUGGUAGUGGGGGACAACGUUUCGAAAGGAACGCUAAUACCGCAUACGUCCUACGGGAGAAAGCAGGGGACCUUCGGGCCUUGCGCUAUCAGAUGAGCCUAGGUCGGAUUAGCUAGUUGGUGAGGUAAUGGCUCACCAAGGCGACGAUCCGUAACUGGUCUGAGAGGAUGAUCAGUCACACUGGAACUGAGACACGGUCCAGACUCCUACGGGAGGCAGCAGUGGGGAAUAUUGGACAAUGGGCGAAAGCCUGAUCCAGCCAUGCCGCGUGUGUGAAGAAGGUCUUCGGAUUGUAAAGCACUUUAAGUUGGGAGGAAGGGCAGUAAGCUAAUACCUUGCUGUUUUGACGUUACCGACAGAAUAAGCACCGGCUAACUCUGUGCCAGCAGCCGCGGUAAUACAGAGGGUGCAAGCGUUAAUCGGAAUUACUGGGCGUAAAGCGCGCGUAGGUGGUUCGUUAAGUUGGAUGUGAAAGCCCCGGGCUCAACCUGGGAACUGCAUCCAAAACUG